GGAAGUAAAAGUCGUAACAAGGUUUCCGUAGGUGAACCUGCGGAAGGAUCAUUAACGAACUCUCGAGGGACGCAGUUGCUGCUGGGCUUCUUGGAAGUCAACGUGCACACGGUCUCUCCUCUCGUUCAACCAAUCUACCCCUAUCUGUGCACCCCUCGUGAGCUGAGAACUCUCUCGGCUUAUGUCCUUUCCACAAAGCAUCUUAUCGAAUCGGUGAAUGAGCAGCCGUCUGAGCUUCGUCUCGACGUUUAACAGUAACACACAACUUUCAACAACGGAUCUCUUGGCUCUCGCAUCGAUGAAGAACGCAGCGAAAUGCGAUAAGUAAUGUGAAUUGCAGAAUUCAGUGAAUCAUCGAAUCUUUGAACGCACCUUGCGCCCCUUGGUACUCCGAGGGGCAUGCCUGUUUGAGUGUCAUCAGACCAUCAACCCGAAGGGCUUUCGAGGCUCAUCGGAGUUUGGAGCUUGCGGCGUGCGGGAGGCUUUCGCCGGCCUCCGCUCCUCGCGGAAUACAUCAGCGGAUGUCCACCAGCGGGACUGACCUUGGCGUGAUAAACAUCUACGUCUCGGCUCUGGCCCGCGUCUCUUGGCUCUGCUUCGAACUGUCAGGCCAUGCUGUCCGACAACCCAUUGACGACUUUGACCUCAAAUCAGGUAGGAUUACCCGCUGAACUUAAGCAUAUCAAUAAGCGGAGGAAAAGAAACUAACAAGGAUUCCCCUAGUAACUGCGAGUGAAGCGGGAAAAGCUCAAAUUUAAAAUCUGGCGGUCCCCCGCGGCCGCCCGAGUUGUAAUCU
rnacentral:rRNA from 1 species